rnacentral:lncRNA from 1 species
GUGGAAAUGCAAACUGGAACUUGUCAGCAUGAUCAUUUCUUAGAGUUAAAGAGGAAAAUCACUUUUUUGGGAAUGAUUAAUCUUUGCUUGGAUAGUGAUAGGACAAGGGGGAAUGGUUUUAAACUGAGACAGGCAAGAUUUAGUUUGGAUAUGAGGAGGAAGGUUUUCACCCAGAGUGGUGACGCGCUGGAACAGGUUGCCCAAGGAGGCUGUGGAUGCCCCAUCCCUGGAGGCAUUCAAGGCCAGGCUGGAUGUGGCUCUGGGCAGCCUGGUCUGCUGGUUGGCGACCCUGCACAUAGCAGGGGGUUGGAACUGGAUGAGCAUUGUGGUCCUUUGCAACCCAGGCCAUUCUGUGAUUCUAUGAUUACUCCCUCUGCACUUAGCAGAACAAUUUGCAUGUUUUUCUAUAUAUACAACAAGGAUUGUUAGGCAAC